AUUGAACGCUGGCGGCAGGCCUAACACAUGCAAGUCGAACGAGUGGCGGACGGGUGAGUAAUGUCUGGGACACUGCCUGAUGGAGGGGGAUAACUACUGGAAACGGUAGCUAAUACCGCAUACCAUCAGAUGUGCCCAGAUGGGAUUAGCUAGUAGGUGGGGUAACGGCUCACCUAGGCGACGAUCCCUCGCUGGUCUGCGAGGAUGCCCAGCCACCAGGGAAAUGAGACACGGGCCCGACGCCUACGGGAGGCAGCAGUGGGGAAUAUUGCACAAUGGGCGCAAGCCUGAGGCAGCCAUGCCGCGUGUAUGAAGAAGGCCUUCGGGUUGUAAAGUACUUUCAGCGAGGAGGCGUUACCCGCAGAAGAAGCACCGGCUAACUCCGUGCCAGCAGCCGCGGUAAUAC
rnacentral:rRNA from 1 species